AGGGACUUGGGACAGGCCGCGAGGGGAGGCGCGGGGCUCUGGCGCUCGUGGCCGAGCCUGCCCGCGACGGUGGUACGGCACGACCCGCGCGCGACUGCGCGCGCGUCUCUCUUAACCGUGGCCACGCCCGCGCCGGUGGACGACGUAACAGAGGCCUGGCCUACGACGUAUCCCAUUCAUUCAUUCACGCGUUCGUUCUUUCAGCUCACGCGUUCGUUCUUUCAGCUCAGCCUGCAUUGCGCGCGUUCCCUGCUGGCUCUGCAGUGAACGACUGAGGUGGGGCUCAUCGUCUUGCUCCUUCCUCAAAGGGAGGGCAAGACCGAAACUCGGUGGCAAAGCUCUGACUGGGGGUCUCUCCAGUUACUCACACGCUGUUGGGGGAGUUUUGAUGUUUAAAUUGUAUAAAUCGGACCUCUGACACGCCCCUAGGCCCAGGGUAGGCUGAAGGAAAAGGGUUUGGAGCGAGUUGGAGGCGGGAAGAAUGGUUCUGAACGCCUAGACCUAAAGGUUGAGACUCAGAAUUGUUAACAGGACGAAUGACCAAGGAGAGGUUUAAAGAACCCAGAGUAAUCCGUAAAGCAGAGAUUACCUAUAGAGUGCGAGGUCCUAUGAGAGAAUUAGAGUGGGGGUGCCCGAAAAUUGAAUUGUUGGGGAAGCGUUUUAUCCUGAUGACGGAUGGUUUGCUGUGUGAUGGACUGUUUGCAAGCACUUUACUUCAUCUUCACAGCAAUCGUGAGGAGGUGUUGUUUCCAUUUUACAAAUGAGGCUUAGAUAGUUAACCUUUUCCAAGGAGCUGUUUUGUCCCCAGGCAGAUCCGCCAAGACCUGGCCCUUAACUACUUAACCACAGUGUUUCCUAGCACACUAACAGACAGUAGAUGGUGAAUAAAUGAAGACAAGACUGACCGUGCCUUCCAGGAACUUAGAUUCCAAUGGAGAAGAGAGACCAGUAAACAAUUAGUUACAAUCCAAUGUGUUAAGGGCUGUCUGUAAUACAGGUUCCUCCAAGGUGCUAUUUUAGCAGAGAGGCAUUAACUGCUUGAGAACUCAGGGAAGCCUUCUUAAAUAAGUGAAGUCCUCAAUGAUGAGUAAGAACCUACCUGACCUUGUAGGGAAGAGUAUGCCAAGCAUAGGAAAUGGCCUGUGAAAUGGCAUUGAGCUAUGAGAGAGAAAAAAUAGUGCACUAAAGAAACUGGAACUCUGAAUACAAGAAACCUACUAAGAACAAUAAGAAAUAUUUUGUGCUGGCACGAUGCUAAAUGGUUAAUAAAUUUAAUACAUCAUUCAAUUAUGAAACAGAUGAAGUAGUCUCUAUUAUUAACAGAACGUUUUAGAUGAGAAGCCAAGGUUCAGAGGUAAUAAUGAGAAUUUCAAAUAACCAGAAGUCUGCAAUAGGUGGUUCUGUGACUAGAAGAAUCUGCAAAAGUAAAUGAAACUGGACAAAGAUACUUUUCAGAAUAUUUUAUAGAGGACCCAGGAUAAUUCAUGCUGGUAGGCAGAAAGGCAGAGUGCUAUUGUGUUGGGAGUGUGUAGGUCUGCAGUCUGGGCAGGGCUUGGCAGGAAGGCACACUCUGCUUGUGCUGCAUCAGCCUGUGCAACCAGAAGAUUGGCUUCCAUGAUGGUUCACAAGGCGGGCAAGUUGGUGCUGGCUGUUAGUUUCACUCCAAGUGGGCCUCUCCCUGGGGCAUCUUGGGCUUCCCCAUUGCAUGGUGGCUGGGCUCCAAGAGUAAGUGUUCUAGCAAGCUGAAAUGGACACUAAAUCGCCUUUUUUGACCCAGCCGUGGAAAUCACAUGGCCUCGUGGAAGUCAAAUGGCAUCACAAUAACCAUAAUCCAUCAGUCAAUCAGCCACAAAACUCACCCUGUCUCAAGGGGCAGGGAACAUGGACACCACCUCUUGAAAGGGGAGCUGCAAGACUCUAGGAACUAGCAGCAUAUAUGUGAUGGAAAGUAUGGUUGUGGCCAAUUUUGGGAAAGAAACUGCCACAUGUACAAUAUUUGUCAGAGUAUGCUUACCAGCCACCCGCCUUGGAAUCAUCUAGGGCACUGUUUUUUGUUUUGUUUUGUUUUGUUUUAAAAAAAGCAUUCCUGCAGCUGGAGCCCUUCCCCCAGGGAUUCUAAUUCUCUAGGUCAGUGCUGAGACCUGGGAAUCUGCAUUUAAACAUCAGGGGUAAUUUUGAUGGAUACUAACACUUGAAGACAAAAAAUUCUGAACAAACGAGAACAAAAAAAACAAUAAGCAAAACAAAAAGAGGUGCCAGGUGCUUUUUUUUUUUAUGUUUUUGAGACAGAGUCUCUCACUGUCACCCAAGCUGGAGUGCAGUGACAUGAUCUCGGCUCACUGCAACCUCUCCCUCUGAGAUUCAAGCAGUUCUUCUGCCUCAGCCUCCAGAGUAGCUGAGAUUACAGGCGUGUGCCACUGCCCCCUGCUAAUUUUUGUAUUUUUAGUAGAGAUGGAGUUUCACCAUGUUGGCUAAGCUGGUCUUCAAUUCCUGGCCUCAAGUGAUCCUCCUGCCUCGGCCUUCCAAAAUUCUGGGAUUACAGGUGUGAGUCACUCCACCUGGCCUCCUUUUGUCUAUCUUCUAUUAGAACAGACAAUAAGUAUCAUUUAGGUUAAGAGUGAGAGCUCUGGAGCCCCCAGUCGGGGUUUGAAAACACACUUUGCUUAAUUUCUCUGUCCUUUGUUUUCUUCACCUAUUAAAUAUACUUACCUUCAUGUGGUUGUUGGGAAGUUUAAAUGAUGUAAUUUGUAUAAGGUACUUAGAACAGUACACAGCACUUAGCAAUCACUUAUUUUUUGUAAUUUGAUAGAACCAUGUGUAGUUUUCUUUAGGAAACCAGAUUUUUAAAACUUGAUAGUAUAACCUUGUUUGGUAGAGAUUGCUUUGAUGGCAUAAAAUUCUCUGAGAGUAUUAACACUUUAACAUAUACAUUUUUCCUGUCUCUCCAAAUUGUUUUUUCUGUUUUCUUCCCCUCUUGAGGACAGCUCGCACUAAACUCAUCUGGAAACGAAAAUCUGAACUUCCGAUUCAUAUAAAUCCUGUGGAACAGGAUAUACUCUAGAAGAACAGGUUGUCACAGGGCUGAGAUACGGUUCUCAAAUUAGAGGGCUAGUUAAGAAUCCUAUUUACUCUAAUACAGAGAUAGACAACAAAACAGUGGUUACCUGGAGCAGGUUGUGGGGUGGAGUGAUGGAGAAUCAGAGAUGUAGAUCAGAGGGUACAAAGUAGCAGAUAUUUAGGACAAGUCUAGAGAGUUAAUGUACAUGAGAACAAGCCUAGAGAGCUAAUGUAUAUGAGAGCUAUAGGUAAUAAGUUUACGCUAUGUAUGAGAUUCAUGCUAAAUAAGUAGAUUUUAGCUACUGUUGUCACAAAAACAUAGGUAACUAUGUGAGACGAUGGAUAUGUUAAUUUGCUUCACAAUAGUAACCUAUUUACUAUUGAUACGACAUAUUCCAUAACAUCAUGUUGUAUACCUUCAAUAUAAACAAUAAAAUAAUUUUAUUUGGCCACGCACAGUAGCUCACCCCUAUAACUCCAGCACUUUGGGAGGCUGAGGCAGGUGGAUCACUCAAGGUCAGGAGUUGGAGACCAGCCUGACCAACACGGUGAAACCCUGUCUCUACUAAAAAUACAAAAUUAGCUGGGUGUGGUGGUGCAUGCAUGUAAUCUCAGCUACUUGGGAGACUGAGACAGGAGAAUCGCUUAAACCUGGGAGGCAGAGUUUGCAGUUAGCCGAGAUGGCACCAUUGCACUCCAGCCUGGACAACAAGAGCUAAACUAGGCCUCAAAAAAUAAAUAAAAUAAAAUAAAAUGUUUUGAGGCAAGGUCUCACUUGUUGCCCAGUCUGGAGUGCAGUGGUGCAAACAUGGCUUACUGCAGCCUCAGCCUCAACCUCCUGGGCUCAAGUGGGCCUCAGCCUCCUGAGAAGCUGGGACUACAGAUGCACACCACCAUGCCCGGCUAAUUUUUAAAUUUUUUAGAAACAGGGUUUCACCAUGUUGCCUAGGAUGGUCUCGAACUCCUGGGCUUAAGCGACCCCUCCCACCUCAGCCUCCUGAAGUGCUGGAUUACAAGCAUGAGCCACCAUUCCUGGCCAAAACUUAUUUUUAAAAAUCCUACUUACUAUACCCAUAAAAUAUGGAUAAAAUAGGAUAUCUAAAAAACUGACUGAUCAUGUACCUCAUAAAUAUAUAUACCUACUAUGUACCCACAAAACAUUUUUUUAACAAACUAACUGGAUUCCUUCAGAGGUGGGAUAUUGAGCAGCUAGAGAACAAAUGUAAAAGGGAGGCUUUUUACUGUGUACUCUUAUACUUUUUGAAUUACGAACCACGUGAAUGUUUUACCUAUUCAAAAUGUGAAAUAUGUAUUCAGUUCACAAAUUUCAAUAGACUGCUCAAGAGGUAUUCAAAGCUCUAACAGUGCUGAUCAGGAAUUAUAUAAUACACUCAAAACUCAGCAAAAAGAUGCUGGUCCAGGUCCAUGGUACUGAAUAAAUGAUGACAGUGGCCAGAUAGCUUCACUAAGCUGAGCAGUGCUAGCCAUAACUCUUUUUUUUUUUUUUUUUUAAGAGACAGGGUCUUGCUCUGUUGCCCCAGACUGAAGUGCAGUGGUGCAAUCAUAAUUCAAUGUAGUUUCCAACUUCUCCCCACUCAGCCUCCACCAUGCCUGGGUAAUUUUUAAUUUUUUUGUAGAGACUGGGUCUGGCUAUGUUGUGCAGGCUGGUCUCAAGCUCGUGGCCUCGAGAAAUUCUCCUGCCUCUGCCUCCCAAAAUGCUGGACUUACAGGUGUGAGCCACCAUGUCUGGCCCAGAACUCUUUUUUCUUUCCUUUUUUCUUUUUUUUUCUUUUUUGAGACAGAGUCUCUCGCUUUGUUGCCCAGGCUGGAGUGCAGUGGUGCGAUCACAGCUCACUGCAAGCUCCGCCUCUCGGGUUCAAGCAAUUCUCCUGCCUCAGCCUUCUGAGUAGCUGGGACUACAGGCGCUCAUCACCACACUCGGCUAAUUUUUGUAUUUUUUAGUAUAGACGGGAUUUCACCAUGUUGGUCAGGCUGGUCUCGAACUCAUGACCUCAGGUGAUCCACCCACCUCAGCCUCCCAAAAUGCUGAGAUUACAGACAUGAGCCACCACGCCCAGACCAGAACUCUUAGCUAAUUAGUCUUUUUUUGGUUCUUUGUCAGGCCGCACUCUUCUCCUUGUUUUUUUCCAGUCUCUGCUCCUUCUGGGACUCAAAGUGCAAGUGCCUUUGCAUUAUCUUACAGGGGACAAGCAAAUAAGAAUGAAUGCUAUGUUGGAGGCAUUAGAGGAGUCCCAUUGUAUGAGAAACUCUUACUCCCCCAAACAAUAUUUUACUGCCCCUUGCUGCUUCCUCAUUACCCACCCCCAAAUAUUCCAGGUUUUCUACUUUGGUCUUGUAAUGGCAGAGACCUAAGUACUAUUUACCCUAUAGGCAAUAACUUAGGACAUAUGUGCCUGAUCUUCUCAGAGUCAGGGAUCUUCUCUGUCUUGGUUACCUCUGUAUCCUGGGCCCAAGUGCAGGGACUGCUACAUAUAUGCUCUCAAAAAAUACUUGUCAAGGGAAUAAAUCAGUCG
rnacentral:lncRNA from 1 species